rnacentral:rRNA from 1 species
AAUACCGAAUUUUUGGAUUUAAGAUUUAAUAAUUUUAAGUGGUAGACAAAUGUUGUAUAAGGGUUGAAGUUUGAACGAGAGUAUAAAUGGACUUUAUACAAGUAAGAAUUCCGGCGUAAGUAACGAAUGAAAGUGAGAAUCUUUCUAGCCGAUUGAUCAAGGUUUCCGGGGCUAGGUUCGUCCUCCUCGGGUUAGUCGAUCCUAAGGUGAGGCCGAAAGGCGUAGCCGAUGGACAACAGGUUAAUAUUCCUGUACUACCUUAGAUUGUCAACGGGCGGACAAAAGAGGUUAAAGUAAAAGGAUUAUUGGAUUUCCUUCUAAGUUUCGAAGCAAGUCGAGGCUGAAAAUCACCCCGACAUUAAUUGCAAGAAACGAAUGCUAUUUUUGGUAGGGAUAUCAGGAAGAAUUACUACCAAUCUCUUUUCGCGAAAAAACUCUAGACUUAAAUCUAAGGUAUUCGUACCGAAACCGAACACACGUGAUCAAGGAGAAUAUCCUAAGGCUAGCGAGCUAACUACAGUUAAGGAACUCUGCAAAUUAACUCUGUAACUUAGGGAGAAAGAGUGCCCCAGAAGGAAUCUGGGGCCACAGUAAAGAACGAGGGCGAACUGUUUAACAAAAACACAGCUAUAUGCAAAAUUCGAAUAUGAAGUAUA